rnacentral:lncRNA from 1 species
CUACAAAAUUUUUUUAAAAGCAAAACAGUGAAAUCCAAAUACCUAUUAUUUUCCUUUUAAAAAACCAUGAAAAGCAAACAUGGGUUGUAAAAAUAAAGCAGCGUAUAGCAGAAAACUAGAUUUUUGCAUUCUUAUAAUUUAUUUUUUCACAGUUAUUUUCCUAUACAGUCUGAGGAGGUAGAUUUUUAUUUAAAACACCUGAGCUGUAUUAACCAGAUUUAACAGAAGUGUAUUAAGACAGAGAAGGGAAAGCAUUGUAUAAUCAUAGAUGUGUUCCUGUAUUGCCGGAAAUGGUAUGAGCAAAACAUAAGUAUAUAAAAAUACAUUUUCUUUCAAUGGCAAGAGUACCCUCUCCCCCCUUUAAGUAGUUUUUUAAACAGAUAAAAUAGUUCAUAAUCACACAAAAUUGUUUAAAAUAUAUUUUUAAAAAAAGUAAUGAUAUUUGAACAAUUAGAUUAGUAAAUGUAUUUGCAGGGAAAAGGGCAAUUCUGUAACACAGAUCCUCGUAUCAAUCUGGUAAUCUCCAAAUACAGGACAUUAUCCUUUAUAAGUUUAUUCAGUGAAUGGGUAAUUUUGGAGGGUUGAUCUCCAAGGUGCAAUUUAGAUAAGUGCUUCAAAAGCUGAAAAAUAGAGUGUUACUGGCUUACAUUUUGUAUUUCACUUCAUUGUUUAGCAUAUCAACUUAUAUUUUAUUUUUAAGCAUUUCUUAUUCAGGAGUCCUUUUUGGACUUCAGUGUGCCAAUUCGCAAAGAAGGGUUUUUAAAUGCUAUCCUUGACUACCCAGAAAAUAAAUGAAAAGACCAAAAAUCCCUAAAAUAGAAUUUCAGUGUAUGAAACAAUGCAAAACACCAUGAUAUAAUAGUGGAUUCUUUUCUGCAUAAUGUAGUGGUUUAGGUUGCAACUGGAAUGUUGUUAAGAUAUUAGACAAUCUUUGAUAUUCUACAAUCUAACUAGCACAGUUUUGUGCCAUUUUAGAAUAUCGAACAGAAUAUUUGCACAAUUAAUUUUACAGAUUGUUCCUUAUUAAAAUUGAAAACAAAAAAGUUGAUAAAAUUUAUGAUUUUGUAUCCAAUCAUGGCAAUCCGUAAAUGCACUUUCAAGGUUUUGAUAAAUUCUACAGUCUGAACUAAACCAAGUUGAUGCUUGUCGAGAAAUGUACUAAGGUGGUGUAGGUUGAUCAACUUGUUAUCUUCAAGUCACAGCUUUCGCUCUACAGUGAAAACCUUGCCCCUAUGCUCAAUGAUCCAUAGUUUUGCUGUAUUCUGAGAAAAAAAUCUGCCAGUAUUACAGUUCCAAGAAGGCAUUUGACACCCAUCCAUAUCACAUAUAUGGACUAGCACAGGAUAGGAAUUAUACACCUUUGUACUGACUGGAAUAAAAUGGACAUUGGACAGGUUUUGUUGAAAGCUCUUUGGCUCAUCCCAGUAAUAAAGUUUUGCUCUUUACGGCUUAAUGUAUUAUAUUACAGUACCAUUACAUAAGCAAUCCAGUGUAUUAAUUAUACUGGCCAUGUUAGAAAGGGACAUUAUGCUGAAGGGGCAGACUUUGAUUUAAUCCAAUUUGCAAUAUUUUUUUUUUAUAAUUUACUGGCAGCAAAAUAUCUAAGACACUCUGUUACACAUUGCAAAACAGAAGCCUGUUUUAAUCUAAACCAAUGUAAUCUAUAGAUUUGCUAGCUGAAUAUUAACAUAUAUGGAUAUAAUAAAAAUAAAUGACAUAAUCCACAUUAGGUUCUAGUGAUGCCCAUUUUAUCCCAGAAUGCAUUUCAUUCAGCUACCCAAUGUAUUAUUUAUAUAUGCUUAACUAUACAUUAAUUUAUAGGCAAAAUCAUUUACAUAUUAAAAACAGUUCUUGGUGAACACAGUCCAAUUAAGUCAAUGGUAAAACAUAUGGUUUCCUCAUUUUCUGAAAAUAGAUUCAAAUGUAAAAUACAUUUGUAAUAACAGAAAUAAACCCAUAUUACAAUGUGUUUUUAAACAACCCAGAUAUGGUCCUCAUAACUUUCUUUGGUCGCAAAAUUUCAAUUCAAGUAUUGCUUAUUUGUGAAUUCAAUGUUUAUGUUUCCUUUAAAGGGCCACUAUAGUGCCAGGAAAACAUACCUGUUUUCCUGGCACUAUAGUGCCCUGAGGGUGCCCCGACGGGCUGUAGGGUGAGGAAGGGGUUAAACUUACCUGUUUCUCCAGCGCCGGGCGGGGGACUCUCCUCCUCGGCUGAAUGCGCGGCAAGAGCCACGCGCGCAGCCAGUCUCAUAGGAAAGCAUUCUCAAUGAGUCGGCCACUAGAGGCUGCAUUAACCCUAUUAUAAACAUAGCAGUUUCUCUGAAACUGCCAUGUUUAUAGAAAAAAGGGUUAAACCUAGCUUGACCAGGCACCCAGACCACUUAAUUAAGCUGAAGUGGUCUGGGUGCCUAUAGUGGUCCUUUAAAUUUAAGGUUGCACUAAAAGGGCACCCUAAAUAGGGGUUGCCGUAUAAGAGCACCUGUGUAUAUGACUGUUCUACAGGAACAAACAAGUUUAUGGUGUGCUUUUUGCAUCCAACUGGAAACUGUGUUCAAAUGGGUCACUGUAAUCAGACAAUAUAAAGGAGAAAAAAAUGAAGUUUUAUAUUAUUAGGCACAGUACAUACUGUAAUAAAAUACAUUUUAGAUCCUGAUUGACUGAAUGCUUUAUUACCACGCUGAAACGCUCUCUUUCUAAACACAAGUCAUAUAUCUCAUUACUUAAAGGGACACUUUAUUCAUCAGAACAACUACAGCUUAUUGUAUUUGUUCUGGUGAGCAUAAUCAUUCCCUGCAGUCUUUUUGCAGUAAACACUGUUUUAAAUGCAGUGUUUACAUUACAGCCUAGGGAUACCUCCACUGCCCCUACAGGUGCUUUACGGUCACCCUCUGCAUGGAGACACUGAACUUUCCUCAUAGAGGUGCAUUUCUAUGAGGAGAUGAAGGCUGGCUCUGCCCCUGACCUGCCUUCUUGACAAUCUCAGCCAAUCCAAUGCUUACCUAUCGGAACAUUGUGACUGGCUCAGAACACCACUUGUGAUGAUAUCAGCCAAGGAGACAGAACAGGGGCAGCAGCAAACUGGAAUAAAGGUAAGAUUUUACUAUAUUUAUGGGGGAAGGGCAGAUGGUGUUUAUAACCAAUAUAGGAUCAGGAAUACUGACCCUAUAUUGUUCCUUUAACCCCUUAAGGACCAAACUUCUGGAAUAAAAGGGAAUCAUGACAUGUCAUGUGUCCUUAAGGGGUUAAAGGAGUUAUCCAACCAAAAAAACAAUGUUUUAAGAAAACACUUGUUUUGGUCAAAGUAAGCCCUCCUGGUCUCCCUCAUACGUAAAAUAAAAUACAGCUCUAAAAGUAGUUUUUGUCGCAGAUCAGGUACGCACUACACAUGAUAAUUUGGGAAAAGUGGAAAACAAUGAAAAUACUAUGAAUAGUGAUGUCCCGAACUAUUUUUAAGAUAAUGAUCCUUUUAUCAACUUUUGAAAGGUAAUAAAUUAUUUGUUAAAGUAUAUGUAAAAAAACCAAAAACCUCAUCCCUACCUUGUAGACGGGAUCCUUCAUGUAUAUGCAAAUCAUGAGAAAUUCAUCCCUACCUUUAGUAUGUGACAGGAUCCUUCAGCCAUAUACACACACACCUUGGCUCAGACAGUGUUUGAAUGUGACUGUUAGUCAAUGUUAUGAUGUUACUGCCCAGUACAUUGAGUGCAGCAGGGACACCAGAGACUAUAUAGAGGUUUUAAAACACGGUCUGACCCAAGGUGUAUGUAUAUUGGCGGAGGAUCCUGUCACAUACUUAAGGUAGGGAUACAUUUCUCAUGAUUUGCAUAUACUUCAAGGAACAAAUCUUGAUGAAAGGAUCAUUAUAUUAAAAUAUAGUGCUGAGGUGACAGUUCUCCUUUAAGGUUUAGAAUCAAAGAAAAAGGAAAAAAACAAACAAAAGCGCUUGAAGUAUGAAUCACUUUGCACUUACAGAAAGGGGUAAUGGCAGUGGUUAUUAUAGUUCUAUAAAAAAAAAUUACAAUUAAAACAGAAAAAUUGUAAAAGUAAAAGGUAAAAAAAUAAAUAAAUUGUUAAUUCACUUUUUCUUAUACGGUGGCAGAAAAUUAUUUACCACAUUCUGAUUUUGCCCAAAGAAAAUGCUACAUUAGAGAGAUUGAACUAAAUUAAAACUUAAUAAUUACAGAUUUGUCAUGCUUUUUAAGUGGGAAGACAAAGAGAAAAUUAACUGUUGUGCAUUCUUUUUUGCAGGAAAAGGUGCACUUUGGGAUUUUUCAACGCAUUGUAGCCCUUUUUAAGUACAUAUAAAGGUUUUAAUAAAACCUUUCGCCCUGUAUAACACUAUUGCAAAAAGUAUUGUUUUACUAGUAUAACAAGGUAUACAAAAAAAGUAGACCAACCAUAUGUGUUGGACGAGGAUAUGAUGUGCAUAGCUUCCCUAUAGCAGUUAAAUAAAAAGUCCACAAGCAGUAAAUGAUGCCCUUUUCAAUACAGCACUAGCACACAAGGAUAAAGAAAGGCUCAAGUGGGCUUUUGUAUGGUAUCACUAAAACAUAGGAACGCCAGAUAUUUCAACAGUUACUGAAAAUACUAAAAAAGCAAUUAGACAGAAAGAGGUCUUUCUCUGGGAAGCCAGAACAAAAAUGCUGUGGUUUACUUUUAGCAAAUGAAAUUGCACCAUAUGGCCUCAAAAGGGGAACGGUCAAUUAUCUGGAAAUUACAUCACUGAAAAAACAGUUAAACAAACACUUGGCACCGUACCAUUUUGACUGUUUGAAAUAGUUAUGGUGGUUGGAGUCUGUGGGGGCCAAGUCCAGCAUCACUGCUAAACACUUUACUCAUCGUUUAGCAAAGAUGCUUGGUACCUGGAUAGUCCGAAGCUCAGCCUCCAAUUACUACAUCAGGAAUUGAAGCAGUGAUUGGCUGUGUCACCCUAUCAUUACCCACUAACUGUGGAAUGGCAUGAAACCGAGCAUAGCCCCACAUUUGCCAUUUCAACAUUGGAGGCCAAGCUGCAGGAAGUAAUCUGUGAAAUUGGGAGUAAACCUUUUAAUGGUAAUGCGGGCACCAGCGUCUAAGGACGUCAGGCACCAUAACCACUUUAAUCAAUUGAUGUCUACAGUGACCCUUUAAAGAAAGCAGCACAUGAACAUAAUAAAUUAACACAAGUUAUAGAUUACUUCCAGUGUAUACUGAAGAUUUGUGAUUUAAGACUUGUGACAUCACAAUCCAUGCACAGCAAAGAUACUUAUUGUUUUGGAGUAGAGCUCAUAACGAUGACUGACAGGGUGCAAAGUUGAAGGGAGACAGUGUAGAUUUCUACCUUUUAUUUGAUUUCUUCAGACCUCAUAAGUAUGUGUUCGUUAAAUUACAGAAAUAUGUAUAACAUAGUAUUAAAAUACUAGAAAUGGAUCGUUCCCUUUUAUUACAUAAAAUUGGAAUAAACUAUUAAACAUUACAAUGUAAUACUGGUGACUGUCAACAAAAGAGGCCUAACUUUUGGAAUACAGAUUCUUGAAGGACUGAUUCCUGUGAUGUUCAGCAAAGGGAAUGUAAUCCACAAUAGCCUAUGAACCAGAGGUCUUAAACUACUUGCCUAUGGACAUUUGCAGACCCUUUCUGCAGAGUAGCAUCUCAAUAGUCAGACAGUUGUUGAGACAUUUAAACAGCUGCCAGUAGGCUGGUGUGCUACUGGACAGCUUGGCAAAUGUGGCUGCUUUCCAGAUAAUGUAGCAUGGCUUAAAGGAUCCAGUACACAAAGCUGUGUGUGCAGUGCGAGUAAACAUAAUGGCAUAUCAUAUUCCUACUCCCCAUUUACACACCAUGUGCCAUAUUCUCAGUGGACAAGUCCGGUCACAAGCACCCGCAACACUCAUCACUCUGUUGGUCAUGCUAGAAUUUGGGUAUUUUCCAUGAGUGCCUGUAUCAGUGAGUUUGUGGGAUUUUGUACAUUUUUUGUGAGUGCUUAUGUGUGUAUCUGUCAGUGUGGUUCUAUGUGUGUGUGACGGAGUACAAACUGUGUCUAAGUGGGCGUGGGGGGGGAAUAAACUGCUAUUAUGUGAGAUGAUGUGUUGGCCAGUGAAAUGGAGUUUGAGACCCCAGUUUUAAAUUAAAGGAGAUUAACUAGUCUACAAUAAUGUGGAUCUGCCUUUACAAAUGAAAUCCUUCAUGUUACUGAGGUGGUGUUUUUUUUUUGGUUGUUUCUGAGGUCUUACUUCUGAACAUUAUGAGAUUUUAUGCUUUUAUAUGAUGGUUACCUACAACGAAUUGAAUCUAUACAUCUCUAUGGGGAACGUUCAGUGUCUCUAUGAAAAGUGUGGAGACACUAAAUGUAGGUGCUUCACACUAUUCAACACUGACACAGGAAGCACCUCUAGUGGCAGUCUGAAUGACUGCCAAUAGAGGUAUUACCAGACAACUGGGUUCUUUGAAAAGGCUGCAGGGACAGGCUAUAGACACCAGAACUGCUACAUUACACUGUAGUUGUUCUAGUGAUUAUAGUGUCCUUUUAAGAUCAUUAAUGACAGUUAACUGGAGACUAAUUGGACAUUGACAUCUGAUUUAAUAUCUAAGGCUACAGUCACUGCUGGGUUUACCCAAAGAGCCAGACUAAAUGACCCCAAGCUUAGUGUAGCCUCUCCUGCAGCAAAAGAAAAAAAAUACUAGCUGCAAAGUAACACGUGUAUAUAAAGGUACGCCAGAAGAUUACCUUUAAUAUGUGCCAUACUAUUUUAUAACCUUCUGAAUAAUGUUAAUUGUAAACUACCGCAUAGCAGUAUUUUAAAGUUGGAAGAAGAAGAAAAAUAAAAUAAAAUAUAUAUAUAUUUUUUUCUCUCAAUAUGACAUGUAAUAUAGCCACUGUGUAUUAUUUUGUAAAUCGAACCACCUGGCUUGUCCUUGCAUUGUGGACCACUUAUAUGACUGAAAACUGUGCACAAUAAACAGCGGAAAUCAACUCCAAUUGAGUCUUUGCGAUGCCUGGGGCUGCCUGGUAUAUAAAGUUUGGAUUUUUGAAUCCAGUCUCUUGGUUUCCAGCAAGGUAUUUAGUCAGAUCUAAGCCAGGAAAUGCACCAAAAAUAGAUAUUUAUUUCUAUGUAAGUAGUGCAAAAUAAUAAAUACAGAAGCUAUAAUACAUGCAUUCUUUAUUUCUUUUAAAUAAUUAAAAAUGAUGACAGUUUUCCUUUAAAUGUGGUCUGUGUUAAGCUAGGUCAUACAUUAAGAGACAAUCUUAGGUCACAAAAAAUGGUCUGUAAGGAUCCUAUAUCAAAAUGGAAUGUACAACUCAUUUAUAGGCAGCACAGCUGCAAACAGCUCUCAUCUGAUCUCAUCCAUGCUUGCAUGAGGUGCAGAUUGCAAUGGCAGCAUUACAUAAUAAUUUUCAAUAAAAGCAAUAACAGUGCAGUUAAUUGGUACCCUGUACUUAUUUUCUUAACAAUUCUGAAACAAUUUUAUCUAUGAAAAAACUAAGCCGAAAAAAAUCAUAAAAUCGACAGCCAGCUAAACUGAUUAUUGGAGGAACAUGUAAUAACAUGUGAAAGCCUGAAUUGGAAAAUGUCCUGUUCUAGGUAUGUAAAAUGAAGGUACAUUUUCAGUGGUCUCACACAAAUCCUCUGCACAGCACAAAUGGCAAUAUGAAAGCAUUAAAGAUUUUUUUUAUUGGGUAUUCUAAUUUAUGUUUUGUUUCCCUUUUCAAAAACAGGGUAAAUAUGAUGCCCUCAAUGGAAUUCAAUCAGUUGCCUUAGGUGGUCUAUUGCAAUCCAGCUCAGGUGGGCAGGAUGUUUGUGGUCCCUGAAAAUGUCUUCAUACAAAUAGAUUGGCAAUGCUUGUAAACCCUUACUAUGAAGGUCAUCAAAACGCUAUACUAACAGGGACAAAAACGAAAUGUGUUAAAAUAAACAAAAAGAAUAUGCUGUGAAAUAUGUUGCACUCAGCAGCAUUUGUCAACCUUUGGUAUAUAAACCAGUUGUGAUACAUUUGAUGAGCUAAACGUAGGUUUCAAAAUUUUUACUUACAAGAUAUGAAAUAAAAGCUGCUUUAGUCAGCUGGAAAAUGUUUAUUUAUAUAUAU